AAGUCGUAACAAGGUAACCGUAGGUGAACCUGCGGUUGGAUCAUUACUGAUUUACUGGACUGUUCAGGCUGAUGCUCCUUUGUUGAGCUCGCCUGUUCAAUCCUUUCACACUUUGUGCAAUAUAUUGUAUUUUGGGUAGUGGGGAUUUUGUCUCUACUGCCCAGCCAUGUUAAACUUUUGUUAAUUUGUCUGAAUUGUUUAUGUAGUAAACGAUAACAACUUUUGACAACGGAUCUCUUGGUUCUC
rnacentral:misc_RNA from 1 species